AUCGCUUCUUGGCCUUUUGGCUAAGAUCAAGUGUAGUAUAAAGCAUGGCUAUGAUCUGAAUUUGUCUCCCAAAUUUAA
rnacentral:snRNA from 1 species